UACGUAGGGGGCAAGCGUUGUUCGGAAUUACUGGGCGUAAAGGGCGCGUAGGCGGCACAGCAAGUCGGGAGUGAAAGCCCGGGGCUCAACCCCGGAACUGCUUUCGAAACUGCUGAGCUAGAGUGCGGAAGGGGCAACCGGAAUUCCCAGUGUAGCGGUGAAAUGCGUAGAUAUUGGGAAGAACACCUGAGGCGAAGGCGGGUUGCUGGGCCGACACUGACGCUGAGGCGCGAAAGCCAGGGGAGCAAACGGG
rnacentral:rRNA from 1 species